GUAACAUAGCAGGCAGACUCAGAAUAUAAGCAGGGACAAGCAGGAAGUCACACUCUUCCUCUUCCUCCUCCUCUCUUCUCUUCUCUUCUCUGUGGAGCUGCCAUGUGAUUCCGGAAAAAGGGCGCAUUCUACCAGCAUCAUCGACAAGAUAAGUCUUUAUAAAAUAUAUAGAUUAAUAGUUAUGGUUAGUAAUUAAGACUGAUCUAGCAGAUAAGAAAUCCUAGUCAUUGGCCAGCAGCAUUGUACCUAAUAUAAGUCUCUGGGUGUUAAUUUGGGUGCCCACGUGGCAGUGGGGCUUGGGCGGGUUGGCGGAAAGAUUUAUCCUUACAAAAAGGUAUCAGGACUUGGAUUUACGAACUUCCACAUAAAAACUUCACAAAAGCCUAAAAAGAGAUUUUAGAAGCAAAAGAACAAAGACAAGCAUGACUUCUUGAUAGCAGCAUUUUCUUGGGUACUCUUCUGUUUUGCUUGAGACAAGCAGAGACUCUUGCGGCUCCUUUAAGAAAGGUUUCCUGACUCAGCAUAAGCGGAAAAAAAAAAAAAAAACCCAGGGUGCAUAUGAGCAGCUGGCAGUGGCAGUGACCACAUCUUUAAGCUGGCAGUGUGCUCCUUGAUGGCAGCAUAGACCAAGGCAGUGAGCACAGUUCUCAAUGCUGGUUGUAAACAUACCCCCGCCAUCUUGGAAAGACAACAGCUAAAGCAGCUGCCACUUUAAUUUUUAGCAAUGCUGUUUAAUAGAUAAAAGACUUCGUGGCCAGAAAAAGGUAAAGAUUUACAAUAAAGACCCAUUCAGAUAAAGAAAAAUCUCUAAAGGAUUACAUUGUGUUUAAAAAUAUAUGUAGGCGGGCUGGAGAGAUGGCUCAGAGGUUAAGAGCACCGGCUGUUCUUCCAGAGGUCCUGAGUUCAAUUCCCAGCAACCACAUGGUGGCUCACAACCAUCCAUCAUGAGAUAUGGUGCCCUCUUAUGGUAUGCAGAUAUACAUGGAAGCAGAAUGUUGUAUACAUAAUAAAUAAAUAAAAUCUUUUAAAAAAUAUAUGUAGGCUUGUAGGAGAAAAGAAACAGGAUAAAGUAAUUAAAAGAAAGAAAGAAAGAAAUUAAGAAAGAGAAGCCUGUUGUGGUGGCUCAUGCCAGUAGGAUUUGCUGAAGGAAGCAGAGGCAGGCAGAUUUCCACAGAGAAGCCCUGUCUCAGGAAAAAAAGGGAGUAAAAGAAAUAGAAUAAUAAAAAGCCACAUAAAGGUGGAAAAUACACAGAGUCUGGAUACUAUAUGCUAUAUUGUUGUCUUUAAAUUGUUGAUUGCUGAGGAAAGAGCUAUGGCUGCUAAUAUACAUUUGAUUACAGGUGCUGCUAAAUUAAUACAACUUACAUAUUUUAAAACUGCUUUGACUUCAAAAUUUAAGUCUAAGGACAGGCUACUUUGGAAAAGAAUUUCUGCUUUUGUUUACACAGAAAAUGAAAAGCUGUGGAUUCCUUCCAGACUAAUAUGGUUUGAUCAAGCAAGACCCCCUGAAGCAGUGGCCCAACUGAUCCUACAUCCAACAGCUGAAAUGAUGCAGUCAUAAAUGACUACAGCCAGAUUUCUGUGUUUUAUCAUGAUCCUCAUGGAUUUUUCAUGACAGCGAGACACAACCGCUCCUGGCACACCAAUUACAGCAGAAAGGAGGAUGGGCAUUGAAGAAAUUCGUCAUGGAGUUUGCCUUCAACAUGGCAAGAAUAGCCAUUUGGGCAAGAAACUGCUCUUGCCUGGACUGUUUGAUAAACUGGACAUGCAGGACCUGCAGGAAAGUGACUGCUGAGCUUGCAAAACAAGACAGUCCUGAAGGGUUCCUGCUUCACUGAGAAGUCUGCCAGACACACUGUGGCCUAUAGGCUGAAGAUGGAUACCCCAAUGUUACAGAGGAACUUCAGGUGAAUGUCCAGGCAGCAAGAUGUCUCUGCCAGUGCUAGAGUUUGUAUAUUAUCCUUCUGUGGUCUUUGAUGGAGUUGAAGACAGUUAUAGUUUUCUUUAGUUAUUAUAAAAGAUAAGCUACAUAUAAAACCUUAGACUCACAAAAAUAGGAUAGAUGAUAGAAUAUUUUCUUUAAAUCUUGCUAAGUGUUAAUGGACUAAAUAUUGUAACUAUAGUUCUUGAUAACUGUUUUGUUAUAUAUUUUACUAUGUUAAUGUUAACACCCUUCUUUUAAUUUAGUCAGAAAAGAGGAGAUGAUGGGGGAGGUCCUUCUGUGUAUAUGUUUGUCUUAUUGGUUGAUAAAGUACUGUUGGCCAAUAGGGAAGCAAGUUAUGCAGGACUAGGACUUGAGGAGGAUUCUGGGAAAUGUAGUAAAGAGAAGUCUUGUGAUCUAGGCAGGAAGUGACAUAGCAGGCAGACUCAGAAUAUAAGCAGGGACAAGCAGGAAGUCACUCUCUUUCUCUUCCUCUUCCUCCUCUCUUCUCUGUGGAGCUGCCAUGUGAUCCUGGAAAAAGGGCGCAUUCCACCAGUGUCCUUGAUAAGAUAAGUCUUUAUAAAAUAUAUAGAUUAAGAAAUCCUGGUCUGGAGAGAUGGCUCAGGGGUUAAGAGCACUGCCCGUUCUUCCAGAGGUCCUGAGUUCAAUUCCCAACAACCACAUGGUGAUUCCCAACCAUUUGCAAUGUAAUCUGGUGUCCUCUUCUGGCCUGCAGGGACACAUGCAGGCAGAACACUGUAUACAUAAUAAAUAUUUUUUAAAAAAGAAAUCCUAGUCAUUGGCCAGCAGCAUUGUACCUAAUGUAAGUCUCACUGUGUUAAUUUGGAUGCCCAUGUGGCAGCAGGGCUUGGGUGGGUUGGUGGAUUUAUUAUUACAGAGAGAGAGAGAGAGAGAGAGAGAGAGAGAGAGAGAGAGAGAGAGUGUGUGUGUGUGUGUGUGUGUGUGUGUGUUUUCUGCCUUCAUGUACACUGUGUAAUGCUGUAAUGCUGUCUUUGGGACAUGACAUGACAUUGCACCCAUGAACUCGUGGUUACCUGCACAGGAUUAGUCAGGAUUCCAUAAGGCAGCACUAAUUGUACUCAGUGGGUUACAAAUUCUUUUAAAAAGGUAUGAAGUUGGAAGGGGGUGUUCAGGGGAGUGGCAGCAGGGAAUGGCAGUGCAUAUGGUCAAGAUGUUUACCUGUAUGAAAUUGCCGAAGAAUAAGUAAAAAGAUAUUCUAAAAAAUGUCUCAUGCAAGUUGCUUGAGACAAGAAGUAUUCUGGAUUUCAGGUUUGGAAUGUUUGUAUUUGGAAUAUUCUCCAUACAUGAGAAAUCAUAGGUACUGGAUCAGAAAGUCAUGGGUACUUCAUGUACACCUUAUAUACAUAGACUGAAGGCUAUAUAAAAUCAGAUGGUCAGUACACACAUUUGUGUAUGUGUAUGUGUAUGGGUGUUUCACCUGCAUGUAUGCUUGUAUACUGUGUGGGUACCUGUUGCC
ensembl:lncRNA